ensembl:rRNA 5S_rRNA 5S ribosomal RNA
GUCUAUGGUCAUACUACCCUGAAAGUGCUUGAUCUUGGAAGCUAAGCAGGGUCAGGCCUGGUUAGUACUUGGAUGGGAACAGUUCCUCUCUUUUUCUUUCAUGAUUUUGGCUUGUUUGAAGCAUAUAGGCC